rnacentral:misc_RNA from 1 species
UUCUCCUUUUGGUGGAAUGCGUAAGUGGAUGUGCUUUCUCCUUUACUAAAUUGUAUGCUGGUUAUUACAAAUGCAUCUUUGAUUUGCUUAAACUGGGAAAACAGUAUAAUUUUUACUUAUUCGUGUGUAACAAACGCCAUGGUAGACCUUAAUUUUCACUUGCGUUUCUUUUGAGGUGCAUGAUGGUCCAUUGUAAAGUUACAGUAGCUAUCUCUUGAAAUUGAGAGAGUUUAGAGAGGA